GAUGAACGCUGGCGGCGUGCCUAAUACAUGCAAGUCGAGCGAACGGACGAGAAGCUUGCUUCUCUGAUGUUAGCGGCGGACGGGUGAGUAACACGUGGAUAACCUACCUAUAAGACUGGGAUAACUUCGGGAAACCGUAGCUAAUACCGGAUAAUAUUUUGAACCGCAUGGUUCAAAAGUGAAAGACGGUCUUGCUGUCACUUAUAGAUGGAUCCGCGCUGCAUUAGCUAGUUGGUAAGGUAACGGCUUACCAAGGCAACGAUGCAUAGCCGACCUGAGAGGGUGAUCGGCCACACUGGAACUGAGACACGGUCCAGACUCCUACGGGAGGCAGCAGUAGGGAAUCUUCCGCAAUGGGCGAAAGCCUGACGGAGCAACGCCGCGUGAGUGAUGAAGGUCUUCGGAUCGUAAAACUCUGUUAUUAGGGAAGAACAUAUGUGUAAGUAACUGUGCACAUCUUGACGGUACCUAAUCAGAAAGCCACGGCUAACUACGUGCCAGCAGCCGCGGUAAUACGUAGGUGGCAAGCGUUAUCCGGAAUUAUUGGGCGUAAAGCGCGCGUAGGCGGUUUUUUAAGUCUGAUGUGAAAGCCCACGGCUCAACCGUGGAGGGUCAUUGGAAACUGGAAAACUUGAGUGCAGAAGAGGAAAGUGGAAUUCCAUGUGUAGCGGUGAAAUGCGCAGAGAUAUGGAGGAACACCAGUGGCGAAGGCGACUUUCUGGUCUGUAACUGACGCUGAUGUGCGAAAGCGUGGGGAUCAAACAGGAUUAGAUACCCUGGUAGUCCACGCCGUAAACGAUGAGUGCUAAGUGUUAGGGGGUUUCCGCCCCUUAGUGCUGCAGCUAACGCAUUAAGCACUCCGCCUGGGGAGUACGACCGCAAGGUUGAAACUCAAAGGGAUUGACGGGGACCCGCACAAGCGGUGGAGCAUGUGGUUUAAUUCGAAGCAACGCGAAGAACCUUACCAAAUCUUGACAUCCUUUGACAACUCUAGAGAUAGAGCCUUCCCCUUCGGGGGACAAAGUGACAGGUGGUGCAUGGUUGUCGUCAGCUCGUGUCGUGAGAUGUUGGGUUAAGUCCCGCAACGAGCGCAACCCUUAAGCUUAGUUGCCAUCAUUAAGUUGGGCACUCUAAGUUGACUGCCGGUGACAAACCGGAGGAAGGUGGGGAUGACGUCAAAUCAUCAUGCCCCUUAUGAUUUGGGCUACACACGUGCUACAAUGGACAAUACAAAGGGCAGCGAAACCGCGAGGUCAAGCAAAUCCCAUAAAGUUGUUCUCAGUUCGGAUUGUAGUCUGCAACUCGACUACAUGAAGCUGGAAUCGCUAGUAAUCGUAGAUCAGCAUGCUACGGUGAAUACGUUCCCGGGUCU
rnacentral:rRNA from 1 species